GAAAGCAAACUUUGUUGCUUCAUUGGUUGACAGAGGUGUCUUGGUGGGAAUGGGGAUGAGAAGUUAGAGAUCGGGUGAGAUAGUUAGGUUGCAAGCAAGAUCUUUGAUGUCUCUGAUAGAGACAAAAACAGAGAAGAAAAGUUUAAUUUAGAGAUAGAACUUAAAUUUCACAACUUUUGAGUUUGAAGAAGAGUCUCCACAGCCCAAAGAGAUAUUGCGGUUGUGAGAGUUAGAAGCGUCAGGUACAGUGGUUACCUCAAAAUGAACCGACUUGGUGAAAGAGAAUUAGUUGGGUACCAAAUAGAAGUUAUCUAUAUAUAUAAAAAAAUUAUGUAAUGUUGGUAACUGAUCGAGACUUGAAGGUAUAAAGGAAGAAGAAAAUAAAUAUUGAGCUUUAAAAGCCAUAGUUGAUAAGGUGAAACUAAUUCAGUUGCAAAAAGUAGUUUGCUUUAAGAGAGCAUGUGAGUAGUUGGGAUAAGGAAGCCAUCUUUGAAACCUUUGACAUUUUGAAAUUUUGAUAAAACGUUACAUCGUUGCAACUUCCUAGAUGGGUUAAUUGAAAGAUGUAGUGGGCAAAGUGUCUGUGUCCAAAGAUUGUAUCAGCCAACUAGAUGUUGCUAGCUAAUGCAAGAUUUGUUAGCUGAUAUAUAGCACUUUGAAGAACUUUUCAGUUAGCAGUCACCCGUGGAAGGCUUGGGUUAUCAAACAAGUUUCUUGGAAGCUUCCUGAUUAUCCUUUUGGAUAAAAUGUAAUACAGACGGUGCAGCUAAGGGGAGUCCUGGUUUGGCAGGUUGUUGCGGAUUGUUCAUACAGUAAAGGAGUGAAUUCAGCUUUCUUUGCUGAGGUAAUGGCAGCAAUUAUUGCAAUUGAUAAGCCUGUGGAAAAUAGAUGGGAUUUCUUUUGGCUGAAAACUUAUUCAAGCUUACUCAAGUGCCCAGUAUUACACACAUUUAUCGCGAAGGAAAUGCUUGUGCUGAUAAGCUAGCAACUUCUAGGCAAAUAAUUUUGGUAAACCUUCUUUCCUUUUACAGAGCUCCAUAAGUAUAGCUGUAUAGGCAGGAGCUUCCUUUUUAUAGAUUCAGAUAAUUUUGUUUCCUUGGGUUGGGUUUGGUCCCCCAAGUGUUUUGUUCACUUUUUGCUUAUCAUCAAUAUAUCUUCAAGUUUGUGUGGCA